AACGAACGCUGGCGGCAGGCCUAAAACAUGCAAGUCGAACGAACCUUCGGGUUAGUGGCGCACGGGUGAGUAACGCGUGGGAAUGUGCCUCUGGGUGCGGAACAACGUCGGGAAACUGACGCUAAUACCGCAUAAUAUCUACGGAUCAAAGAUUUAUCGCCCAGAGAUCAGCCCGCGUUAGAUUAGGUAGUUGGUGGGGUAAUGGCCUACCAAGCCUACGAUCUAUAGCUGGUCUGAGAGGAUGAUCAGCCACACUGGAACUGAGACACGGUCCAGACUUCUACGGGAGGCAGCAGUUAGGAAUAUUGGACAAUGGGCGCAAGCCUGAUCCAGCCAUGCCGCGUGUGUGACGAAGGCCUUAGGGUUGUAAAGCACUUUCGUCCGCGAAGAUAAUGACAGUAACGGAAGAAGAAGCUCCGGCUAAAUUCGUGCCAGCAGCCGCCGUAA
rnacentral:rRNA from 1 species